rnacentral:rRNA from 1 species
UUAUUGGAGAGUUUGAUCCUGGCUCAGGACGAACGCUGGCGGCGUGCCUAAUACAUGCAAGUCGAGCGGAUUGAUGGGAGCUUGCUCCCUGAUAUCAGCGGCGGACGGGUGAGUAACACGUGGGCAACCUGCCUGUAAGACUGGGAUAACUUCGGGAAACCGGAGCUAAUACCGGAUAACUUCAAGCACCUCCUGGUGCUUGAAUAAAAGACGGUUUCGGCUGUCACUUACAGAUGGGCCCGCGGCGCAUUAGCUAGUUGGUGAGGUAACGGCUCACCAAGGCGACGAUGCGUAGCCGACCUGAGAGGGUGAUC